UACGAAGGGGGCUAGCGUUGUUCGGAAUCACUGGGCGUAAAGCGCACGCAGGCGGAUCGUUAAGUCAGGGGUGAAAUGCCGAGGCUCAACCUCGGAACUGCCUUUGAUACUGGCGAUCUUAGAGUCCGGGAGAGGUGAGUGGAACUCCGAGUGUAGAGGUGAAAUUCGUAGAUAUUCGGAAGAACACCAGUGGCGAAGGCGACUUACUGGACACAUAUUGACGCUGAGGUGCGAAAGCGUGGGGAGCAAACAGG
rnacentral:rRNA from 1 species